CUCUCUGUCUCAAAAAUAAAUAAACAUUAAAAAAAAAAAAGAAAAAAUUAAAAAAAAAUAGUGGUGGUAGCUUGGUUAUAAUCAUUAAGGAGUAAUAAUACUGAGUUUGAUUUAUAAGUUGGAAAGAUUAUGGUAAGGGAAACAAACCAAAUUCAGCCAAUUUGAGAGUGUAUUUGUUCUCAGGACCCUGAUAAAUGUUUAUGGUUUGAGUGAAUUGGAGCCCACUAGCAUUGCCAAAACACCUGGAAGAGAUGUGCAUGGAAGAGAAGAGUGUUCUAUGUUAUACAUCUAUUUAAGCUGGCCCGUACCACACAAGGGACUCUCUCGGGUUGUCUACUGUGCUAUCAUCUUUCUCAUGAGCACCUGCUGGGGUCCACGGAAAAGAGCCUGGGAGUAAGUACCAAUUCCUCUUAUGUCCGGGGCUGCCAGGGGUUUCAUACUGUCAUACUACCCACACUCAACCUUUACCAAUUCUUUAAAGGUUUGGUUGAUGUUUUUUUAAACUCAAUUGUAGGGUGGUCAGUGCUUUUUCUCCCAUUCUCUGCCACCUGUGAGCCAGUCCAUGGGUACUUGAUUCAAUUUAAUUUUAUUCAAAUAUAAACGUAAACUAAAAACAAUUCAGCAUAGUUUAAUUUCUUGUAUUGCCUUUCUAUUGGGGCAUUAAUGGAGGGAAAGUUAGAUGAUUGGGAGGAUCAAAAUCUGAAUCCAAAGAGAUGUGUUCUCAAACUAGCCUCCCGCAGACACUGGGGUUUGGCUACAAAAUUUGACUGAGUUGCUUUUUUCCCAAAUACUCAGAAAACAGUUAAAUUUAUGGGUUGAAUUAUCUGAAUUCUAAGAUUCUAUCUCAUAAUUUGUUAUUAUUGUAAAACCUUGGUAACUGCUGCUGAUUGUUUGCUCAGUGGUACAUGCAGCUGGGUAAACAAUGAGCAUGAAAAUGGCAAAUUGGACAGCCAAUCAAGCUUUUUCAUCACUUUAUAAGGUAAUUUGGGUUCAUCUUAUAUGGUUUUAACUUGAUAAAACAUUUUCCUGAAAAUUUUUGUGUGGUUUGGGAGUAUAGAAACACAUAUCAUUUUAGAGAUGCUUAAAAAAUUUGCAUUCCCUGUAGAAACUCAAAGUAGUUGUGUUGAGAAACACUGCAAAGCAGAGGGGAUGAUGUAACCAAAAAAUAGGAUCAGUAAAAGGUCUUUGAUUUCAAUCUCAUAUUAUUUCUGUUACUGUGCAAAUUUUUACGAUAGUGGCUCAUGUUAUGUAAAGUAAUUUGAAAAGGAAGGAUUUCAGCAAAACAUAUUUAAACACCUAAAAGGAAGAUAUGUGAAGCCUAAAUACAAAGCUUAAUCAUGUACUUAAUCAUGGGGGAGAAGCUAGGGGUGUUUCAAUAAAUUUUAAUUUAUGCCAAUUUUUAUCUUAUAAAAGGAUGUGGAAAGUCUUCCAGGACUGAUUUGAAAAUAGCUGAAAUAUAUCCUGAAGAAUUUUCAACUUUUGCAAAAUUCAGUGAUAAGCUAAAUUAUGAGGCUAUAGAAAUGAACCAGACUCAAUCUGGGAGGCAGACCGAGAAGAAAACGUUGGGAAAAUUACUUGAAAAUGUCUAAUUG